rnacentral:rRNA from 1 species
AAGCGCACAGAGCUGCAUGGCUCAGUGUGAAAAACUCCGGUGGUAUAAGAUGGACCCGCGUUGGAUUAGCUAGUUGGUGGGGUAACGGCCCACCAAGGCGACGAUCCAUAGCCGGCCUGAGAGGGUGAACGGCCACAUUGGGACUGAGACACGGCCCAGACUCCUACGGGAGGCAGCAGUGGGGAAUAUUGCACAAUGGGGGAAACCCUGAUGCAGCGACGCCGCGUGAAGGAAGAAGUAUCUCGGUAUGUAAACUUCUAUCAGCAGGGAAGAUAGUGACGGUACCUGACUAAGAAGCCCCGGCUAACUACGUGCCAGCAGCCGCGGUAAUACGUAGGGGGCAAGCGUUAUCCGGAUUUACUGGGUGUAAAGGGAGCGUAGACGGUGUGGCAAGUCUGAUGUGAAAGGCAUGGGCUCAACCUGUGGACUGCAUUGGAAACUGUCAUACUUGAGUGCCGGAGGGGUAAGCGGAAUUCCUAGUGUAGCGG